CAAUAGCACGUCCUGCUAUUAAAGAAACCUUGAUUGCAGUUUGGGGACAAUAUCACAAUAUAUUUAUACUUGAUCCUAAUAUACUGGAGUUCAUUUGUGCUUUGAAAUCCUCUCACAAUCUAAACUGGAUAUCACAACUUUGUUUUAUUCCAAAUAUUGACAGAAAUGAGAGUGUGAGGAUACAUUAGGAUUAGUAAGGUCAUCCUGUCCUGUCUCAUUUGGUUUAUUGAGUAAAGGAGGAGG